UUAUCACCACAAAUUGGCCGGUGCAGGCGGGCGCCGCCUCCGCCGCGAAAACAAAGCCGGCGAUCAUACGAGCUUGUGCGUAGUGACCUCUCCAAACAGUGCAGCGACUGUACCUAUCUUAACAACAAAUUUCGAGAUAUCGAGCAAUUCGUUAAAAAUUACAUCCUAUCUGUGCAGUGGCCGUUAACCCCCGCUCCACGUGUAGCGCUCGAAACGCCGCGGUGCUUCGCCGCCUUGCGCGGGCUUUGGAGGCCAACGUACAGCCCCCCCCUCCCGCCGCCACCCCGCGCGGAAAAGCAUCGAUCCGCUGGAUUUUUCGAAAACAGCGAGCGUUUCGGUCGUUCGGGGGGCGCGGGGGCGCGGGAGCGCAGGCGAGGGGUGGUAUUUUCGACUUUCCCGGCUAUUUUCGCCUAGAAAGAGAAAGUUUGCAUUUCCGAGGUUAUCCGAGCCGUGUCGAGGACAGGCGACUGUCACGGCCACCUUGACCAAUCUCAACGUAACUUAAGUGUGCCUCGUUUCGACGUGUGGGAACAUACAUAGACAGGGAGCGAUGGUUUCGUGGAUGGGCGGCCGUGGGUUUUAAUUAGGUUGGCAUUAUUGCGAGGUCUUGGCACUCGGGGGCUAGAGGAUUUUGGGCACUCAGACUGCGCUGUUGCUAAUGCUGGAUUCGAGAAGUGGCACGGUGACGUCACGGACCUUGAAAAUAUUCUGUUGACAUCAAUUCAUGGAAAGUAAACACAAUGGGAGUUACACGUUCGAUUGGAAGCAGGAGCGGGGACACUCACCGCUGGCCCUUGCCCCUUAGGGUUGCUGCACCACUGCGUUUUAUUAGUGCACGCAAUGAUAGGAAUUUUCACUUUUCGCUUUUUGGUUACACGUUCGAUUUGAAGCGAGCAGUGCCCUGUUACUGCGGGCUGCUACGCCACUGGGUUUAAUUAGCUGCGCCCCCAUCCACGCGGAUAACCCCGUAGACAUCUGCAUAACAAAAAUAAUUUGAUUGUACGUUAACAAAUAAAAGGUUAUCCCAUCA